rnacentral:lncRNA from 1 species
UAACUUACAGGGUGUUGAUUGUGUCCUGAAUGAUCUGAAUCCAGCUGUUUCGUUCCUCUUUGGAGCUGGCAUGGACUUCUACCAUCUCUGGAUCUGUCAUCCCCAUGCUGAUCAGGAAUAAACCUUUCUCCUCAUGUGCCACUUCUCUCACAAUCAGCUUCUUUAAAGAGAUCACUGUUGACUUCUGGUCCUCUAACUCUGAAGGACAGCUUCAAUCUAAGGAAAACUAAAAUGUCAGUGAGAAGAACUGCUUGAACCUCUGGAAAUACCUUUCAACCUUCCUGCUGCAUUCUUCAGAAACACACUCCCAUCACGUACAAGCUUCUUCCGUUUCAAAUCUUCCUUGGCAAACAUCUGACCACUCUUCAUCCUCAUGAUUGACUUGCUAUCUGUCUUUGUAUAAAUCUCAUUGAGACGCACUUUCUUUUCAUAACUUGCCACUUUGCUGUCUACAGCUCCAAUCACAUCCUUCACCAGGCUCAAGGACUGUGCUAGAUCUUCCUCUCCAGAAUCCUCUGGAAGAAUUGGCUAUGGAUACUGAUCAGCUCAUCCAAACAGGGGAACAGCUUUUCUACCAUCUGCUGCUCAAAAAGCAGA